CAGUCGCCGCGGUAAUACAGAGGAUGCAAGCGUUAUCCGGAAUGAUUGGGCGUAAAGGGCUCGCAGGCGGUUUCUUAAGUCUGAUGUGAAAGCCCCCGGCUCAACCGGGGAGGGUCAUUGGAAACUGGGAAACUUGAGUGCAGAAGAGGAGAGUGGAAUUCCACGUGUAGCGGUGAAAUGCGUAGAGAUGUGGAGGAACACCAGUGGCGAAGGCGACUCUCUGGUCUGUAACUGACGCUGAGGAGCGAAAGCGUGGGGAGCGAACAGGAUUAGAUACCCGCGUAGUCCCUGUCUCUUAUAA
rnacentral:rRNA from 1 species